AACGUAGGUUCCGAGCGUUGUUCGGAUUUAUUGGGCGUAAAGGGUGCGUAGGCGGUUUGGCAAGUCUUAUGUGAAAUCUUCGGGCUCAACCCGAAGCCUGCAUAAGAAACUGCCGGGCUUGAGUAUGGGAGAGGUGAGUGGAAUUUCCGGUGUAGCGGUGAAAUGCGUAGAUAUCGGAAGGAACACCUGUGGCGAAAGCGGCUCACUGGACCAUAACUGACGCUGAGGCACGAAAGCUAGGGGAGCAAACAGG
rnacentral:rRNA from 1 species